rnacentral:lncRNA from 1 species
CACGAGCAGGAAAAGAUGACCUAGAGCUAAAUAUAAAUCUUAUCUAACUUUGGAGUUCCAAGUUCCAGUGCUACAUUCUCCAUCAGUGCCUUAUGUUAGAGAAUGUGAUGAGCUUUGCCUGUGGAGACAGGAUCCCAGGGAAAUGACAAUAACAAAAGAAAGAAGAAAGAAUAUGAGCUUCCUCCAGACAUCAUCAAAGAUCAUUGCCAAAGUUUUGAUGGGCUUUGAUUAAGGUAUCCUGGGACCUCAGCACAACCAACAAUAAAGAGAGAAGGAAGAAGACCCAGGACCAGGACAGGUAAAGGAAAACCAACCCAGCAGCAGG